rnacentral:lncRNA from 1 species
GCUUGGUUUUCAACUCUAUACUUUAUUCUCCAAUCUCUUUGCAAUUAUUCAUUUUAAAAGUUCUCAAGUAGUUUUUAUUAGUUUUUUUUCAAAAGUUUUAACUCUAACCAGUGGGAGUGAUAAACUAGGGGGCUUACUUAAUCAUGGCUGGCACCAUACAUUACAUGUAUUUAUUUUUAAGGGAUAAAACAUCCUUGUAUUCCUGGGAACCUGAUCUUGAAGUUCAUUCUUUUCAUAUAAUGCUAGAUUUGAUUGCUAAUAAUUUCUUCAUGACUUUUACAUCUAUUUCACAUGACUGUUCAGAAUACACAUGAUCUUUCUGAAGUACAACUAAUAUUCUCUUGGAAUGGGUUGUGGUUGUCAGUGUCUGCUCCACAACCAGUUUGGCCCAGUUCUUACCCCUCAAGGUCUCUCUCCACAAUCCCACACCCAAAUGUACCCAGCGCUGUUGGGGUCCUUGACCGGAUGCGACCAGCAUGGGGUACUUGUGGAGGUUUGCGGUGUAAGAAGGCUUCAGGGAAUGGUCAGUGGAAUCUGAAGCUGGGGGUUAGCCACUGAGGGCUUCUGUGGUCUGGAUUGGAGCAUCCUCAGCGUCGAGUGGAAGUCGGUGUCUGGGGAACCAGGAAAAGCGAGCAAGCGAUGCGGAGUUGGGGGCCAUUAUGGCUAUCGGUGAUGGGAAGGGCUGGGGAAGGAGGUACUUCAUUGCUUCAGAUGCCAGGGAUUUGGGUGCUGUACUAAGUACCCAACCAUAUUUCCCAACAUUUCAUACUGAAACCUUUCAAGUACACUGAAGGAAUAGCAACAUGGUGGUCACCUGUGUACCCAUCACCUAGAUUCAGCAAUUAUUAAAAUUGUGUCAUAAAUACUUGGUAUAUGUGUAUGGGUAUGUGUGUGUAAUUUCUUCUUAUUAUUAUUAUGUUUAAUCAUUAGAGAAAGAGUCUUGCUCUGUCACCCAGGCUGGAGUGCAGAGGGGUGAUCAUAGCUUACUGCAGCCUCAACCUCCUGGGCUCAAGUGAUCCUCCUGUCUCGGCCUGCUGAGUAACUAGGACUAAAGGCAUGCUCAACCACGCCUGGCUAACAUAAUUUAUUUCUUGAUGAAUCCUUUGAAAUAACAUUUUAGUCCUGAUUCUUUAUGCCGAUUUUGCUAUUUACUGUCUGCAUGACUUUGGGCAAGGUAUUGAAAUGCUGUAAGUUUUACUGUUAGGAAAAAAUGAUGGUAUCUCCUUUGCAAAUUUCUUUUGAAGAUUAUUGGAAUGGUGUGCCUGAAAUGCUAGCAAAGUGCCUGGUUUAUAGUAGAUAAUUGAGAAAUGUUCUUUUAUUAUUAUUCAAAUAUAUACCUUUCUGUGGCAAUUUUAAUUAUCUAAUUAACUUUUCCUUUUCUGCUUUCAUAUAGUUCGUUUUCCUAUAUGAAUUUAUCUUUGAGUACAUAUUUGAAAACUUCUGAGGAUUUUAAAUAAAGAUCUCCUUACAACAAUUAUUUAUUACAAAAAUUGUUACAUGCUUGUAAAUAAAAAACCAGGCAGUAAUAGUAAAAGCAUCUACAAUUUACCAUCUAUACCAAACUUAUCUUUUGUACUAUGUUAUUAAAUUGAACUGCAUAGUAUGGAUAUUUCAUUUUCUUAAAUACAUAAAGCAGAUCAGGUUAAACGCAUAUUUAAACUUUUAAAUUAAAUUUAAAAUUAAAUUCUAUUUAAUUUAAUAUAAAUUUAUAUAUAUUUAUGUUUAUACUUAUAUAUAAAUAUUUAUAUAAUUAUAUAAUAAAUAUAAAAAUUUAGUUUCUUUUUUUAACCCUCUUAUACCAGGGAGAAUGGCUAUUUUAAAAAAAAAUUUUUUAUUAUACUUUAAGUUCUAGGGUACAUGUGCACAACGAAUAAUUUAGUUUCUAAUUAAACAUUUAAAUGCAUAUUUAACCAUUGGCUUUUUUUGCUUAAUAAAGGUAAUGUUUGAUA